rnacentral:rRNA from 1 species
CCUACGGGUGGCUGCAGUGGGGAAUAUUGGGCAAUGGGCGCAAGCCUGACCCAGCAACGCCGCGUGAAGGAAGAAGGCUUUCUGGUUGUAAACCUCUUUUGUCAGGGACGAAACAUGUGCCGGUACCUGACGAUUAAGCUACCGCUAAAUACGUGCCAGCAGCCGCGGUACUACGUAGGUGGCAAUCGUUAUCCGGAUUUAUUGGGUGUAAAGGGCGUGUAGGCGGCAUUGGAAGUCAGCUGUGAAAAGUAUGGGCUCAACCCAUAGCCUGCAUGUGAAGCUGUAUGUCUUGAGUGCUUGAGAGGCAAUCGGAAUUCGGUGUGUAGCGGUGAAAUGCGUAGAUAUAAGGAGGAACACCAGUGGCGAAGGCGGAUUGCUGGACAGUAACUGACGCUGAGGCGCGAAAGUGUGGGGAGCAAACAGGAUUAGAUACCCCAGUAGUC